rnacentral:rRNA from 1 species
GUGGGGAAUAUUGGACAAUGGGGGGAACCCUGAUCCAGCCAUGCCGCGUGUGUGAAGAAGGCCUUUUGGUUGUAAAGCACUUUAAGCGAGGAGGAGGCUACCGAGAUUAAUACUCUUGGAUAGUGGACGUUACUCGCAGAAUAAGCACCGGCUAACUCUGUGCCAGCAGCCGCGGUAAUACAGAGGGUGCAAGCGUUAAUCGGAUUUACUGGGCGUAAAGCGCGCGUAGGUGGCCAAUUAAGUCAAAUGUGAAAUCCACGAGCUUAACUUGGGAAUUGCAUUCGAUACUGGGUGGCUAGAGUAUGGGAGAGGAUGGUAGAAUUCCAGGUGUAGCGGUGAAAUGCGUAGAGAUCUGGAGGAAUACCGAUGGCGAAGGCAGCCAUCUGGCCUAAUACUGACACUGAGGUGCGAAAGCAUGGGGAGCAAACAGGAUUAGAUACCCUUGUAGUCC